rnacentral:rRNA from 1 species
AGAGUUUGAUCCUGGCUCAGGACGAACGCUGGCGGCGUGCUUAACACAUGCAAGUCGAACGAAGCUUGAUUACGGAUUCUUCGGAUGAAGUAUGAUAUGACUGAGUGGCGGACGGGUGAGUAACGCGUGAGUAACCUGCCCUUCAGAGGGGGAUAGCGUUUGGAAACGAACGGUAAUACCGCAUAAUGUAUUUUGACCGCAUGAUCGAAAUACCAAAGAUUUAUCGCUGAAGGAUGGACUCGCGUCUGAUUAGGUAGUUGGUGGGGUAACGGCCUACCAAGCCGACGAUCAGUAGCCGACCUGAGAGGGUGACCGGCCACAUUGGGACUGAGACACGGCCCAGACUCCUACGGGAGGCAGCAGUGGGGAAUAUUGCACAAUGGGCGCAAGCCUGAUGCAGCAACGCCGCGUGAAGGAAGACGGUUUUCGGAUUGUAAACUUCUGUUCUUAGUGAAGAAUAAUGACGGUAGCUAAGGAGCAAGCCACGGCUAACUACGUGCCAGCAGCCGCGGUAAUACGUAGGUGGCAAGCGUUGUCCGGAAUUACUGGGUGUAAAGGGAGCGCAGGCGGGUGAUCAAGUCAGCUGUGAAAACUACGGGCUUAACCCGUAGACUGCAGUUGAAACUGUUCAUCUUGAGUGAAGUAGAGGUUGGCGGAAUUCCGAGUGUAGCGGUGAAAUGCGUAGAUAUUCGGAGGAACACCGGUGGCGAAGGCGGCCAACUGGGCUUUAACUGACGCUGAGGCUCGAAAGUGUGGGGAGCAAACAGGAUUAGAUACCCUGGUAGUCCACACUGUAAACG